GGCGAUCUCUGUCUCAAA
rnacentral:snRNA from 1 species